rnacentral:misc_RNA from 1 species
GCCGAAAAAGAUCAAAGAGAACCUGCAUAAACCUCGCAGAAAAAAGGGCCAUUCAAAAGACCGAACUUCAUGACAUAAGAAUCAUAUUUAUCUACCCAGCUCUUUGAUGCAAUUCUAAUGGCAACUAUGACUUGCAUUUGCACAUGUAGAGAUGUGGGGGAGUAGGGGCAAGUUGAGUCAUAAAUUUUUAAUUGAAACAAGGCUUUCGUUGGCAACCAUUAUCAACAAAAGAUCAAGCUCCAGUGCAUACAUGAGCAAGUAAUUAGCAGUUCUUUAAUCCAACUAUUUGCAAACAAUCAUCCAAUGAAGGCCCAAAGAAUGAAAUAUCUGGUGCUGUUUCCUAGAAUACAGGAGCACCACUUACCAAUGCACUAUGCAGCCAUUAUUAAUACUGUGUUACAGUAAAAGGCAGUAGAAACAUUCCAUUUUUUACUAGAACUAGAGAAAUUGCACAUAGGAGCUUGACCAUUUCCAGAGUGAACAUAAUUCAACCUUGAGAUGAAAGCAAGAUAAGCCAAGCAAUUCUAAGUAUGCUAAAACAAUCAAAAUGAGAAGGUAUAAAUGCCAAAAUUUGAAUCAGAUCAAUCAUACCUCAGAUCGUCUUAA